rnacentral:rRNA from 1 species
GACGAACGCUGGCGGCGUGCUUAACACAUGCAAGUCGAACGGAAAGGCCCUGCUUUCGUGGGGUGCUCGAGUGGCGAACGGGUGAGUAACACGUGAGUAACCUGCCCUUGACUUUGGGAUAACUUCAGGAAACUGGGGCUAAUACCGGAUAGGAGCUCCUGCUGCAUGGGGGGGGUUGGAAAGUUUCGGCGGUUGGGGAUGGACUGGCGGCUUAUCAGCUUGUUGGUUGGGUAGUGGCUUACCAAGGCUUCGACGGGUAGCCGGCAUGGGAGGGUGACCAGCGACCUGGGUCCUACGAGACGGCCCAGACUGGUACGGUAGGCAGUAGUGGGGAAUAUUGCACAGUGGGCCGAAGCGUGAUGCAGCAACGCCGCGAGCGGGAUGAAGUCCUUGGUGUGGUAAAGCGCAUUAGGCUAAGACGUAGCUGGAGUGACGUUAAUAGGUGAAGAAGCACCGGCUAACUACGUG